rnacentral:rRNA from 1 species
CCGUCGCUCCUACCGAUUGAAUGGUCCGGUGAAGUUUUCGGAUCGCGGCGACGCCGGCGGUUCGCCGCCGGUGUUGUUGUGAGAAGUUCAUUAAACCUUAUCAUUUAGAGGAAGGAGAAGUCGUAACAAGGUUUCCGUAGGUGAACCUGCGGAAGGAUCAUUGAACACACGAUCUAUGAAAAACUCUGCGAAUCGUUCUGUACAAAGAGGGAUCGUGCCCGGAGGCACGAUCGUCGGUGCCCGAGUCGAGAUUCAUGUGCGUCAGCCUUGAUCGUCCCGUUUGGUGCGCGGCGGGAUCGAGUGGCUCGGGUUUCACCGUCGGAUCGCCCCAGACGCGCAUGGUUCCGAAUUCCCGUCCCGGGGUUCGGAGUCGGGAGUGUGUCCCCUCCUCCGACGGAGGGGGAGUCCCGCGGGACUCGACUGCCUCAGGCAGGACGGGCUCUCGCCGGAUGACUCCCUCUCGGUUGGUGCCCAUUUUUUCCCAAGCAACCCCGGUGAAACUUAAGAUGAUAUGAUUGAUGGGAGUUUGGGAGUGCUACGUCGCUCCCGAGCUCCCACGAAAACGAGAACACAAAUGACUCUCAGCAACGGAUAUCUUGGCUCUUGCAACGAUGAAGAACGCAGCGAAAUGCGAUACCUAGUGUGAAUUGCAGAAUUCCGCGAAUCAUCGAGUUUUUGAACGCAAGUUGCGCCCGAGGCUCGUCUGAGGGCAUGCCUGCCUGAGCGUCCGCCUCCGACCCACCCCACAAGCCCUGUUCUCCACUGAAAGGGGGAAGGCAGGGACGCGUGCGAGUGGAACUGGUCGUCCGAGGACUCGCUCGACCCCUUCGGGGGACGAUGGUAGGAUCAUCGGUCGGCUGAAAACGUGAGCCGUCCGUCAAAACGCACGCUGGGACAACGGUGCGUCGCGAGAAGGUGUCGUCCGUCUCCAGUCGUUCUCGACGGGAGACGGAUGUUGUUUUAGAGCGACGUGCCCCCCGGCGGAGUCGAGCUUUGGCGGUUCGGUGGAAAACUUAGAACAUGGGGAGCGGGAAAGGUCUGGGCACCCCGCCAACCCUCUCGAAAGGGAGGGAAACGCGAGAGAUGCCCGAGUCCGAACGCAACGUUGCUCGGACCUCAGAUCAGGCAAGACCACCCGCUGAGUUUAAGCAUAUCACUAAGCGGAGGAAAAGAAACUAACAAGGAUUUCCUUAGUAACGGCGAGCGAACCGGAAGUAGCCCA